CGACCCUCGAGCCCCCUCUUCUUGCGGGUGGCUCGGUGCUGGGACGCUACAGCGCUUGCGCUGUAGGUCCCGAAAUGCAGUGGCGGCCUCGCCGAGACCCCGAACGCAGUAAACCGUGCUCUAGCACAGCGCCUCGUUCAGGGUGUCCGGCGGGUGUUUCAGCCGUUAAACCCCCCAUUUUUAAAA
rnacentral:misc_RNA from 2 species